AGUGAACGCUGGCGGUAGGCCUAACACAUGCAAGUCGAACGGCAGCACAGUAAGUGCUUGCUCUUACGGGUGCCGAGUGGCGGACGGGUGAGGAAUACAUCGGAAUCUAUUUUUUCUUGGGUGCUAACGUAGGGAAACUUACGCUAAUACUGCAUACGACCUACGGGUGAAAGCAGGGGAUCUUCGGACCUUGCGCGAUUGAAUGAGCGGAUGUCGGAUUAGCUAGUUGGUGGGGUAAAGGCCCACCAAGGCGACGAUCCGUAGCUGGUCUGAGAGGAUGAUCAGCCACACUGGAACUGAGACACGGUCCAGACUCCUACGGGAGGCAGCAGUGGGGAAUAUUGGACAAUGGGCGCAAGCCUGAUCCAGCCAUGCCGCGUGUGUGAAGAAGGCCUUCGGGUUGUAAAGCCCUUUUGUUGGGAAAGAAGAGCAGCAGGUUAAUACCCCGCUGUUCUGACGGUACCCAAAGAAUAAGCACCGGCUAACUUCGUG
rnacentral:rRNA from 1 species